rnacentral:rRNA from 1 species
GGGGGGGGGAACGUGCCCGCAUGCAGUCGAGCGGACAGAUGGGAGCUUGCUCCCUGAUGUUAGCGGCGGACGGGUGAGUAACACGUGGGUAACCUGCCUGUAAGACUGGGAUAACUCCGGGAAACCGGGGCUAAUACCGGAUGCUUGUUUGAACCGCAUGGUUCAGACAUAAAAGGUGGCUUCGGCUACCACUUACAGAUGGACCCGCGGCGCAUUAGCUAGUUGGUGAGGUAACGGCUCACCAAGGCGACGAUGCGUAGCCGACCUGAGAGGGUGAUCGGCCACACUGGGACUGAGACACGGCCCAGACUCCUACGGGAGGCAGCAGUAGGGAAUCUUCCGCAAUGGACGAAAGUCUGACGGAGCAACGCCGCGUGAGUGAUGAAGGUUUUCGGAUCGUAAAGCUCUGUUGUUAGGGAAGAACAAGUGCCGUUCAAAUAGGGCGGCACCUUGACGGUACCUAACCAGAAAGCCACGGCUAACUACGUGCCAGCAGCCGCGGUAAUACGUAGGUGGCAAGCGUUGUCCGGAAUUAUUGGGCGUAAAGGGCUCGCAGGCGGUUUCUUAAGUCUGAUGUGAAAGCCCCCGGCUCAACCGGGGAGGGUCAUUGGAAACUGGGGAACUUGAGUGCAGAAGAGGAGAGUGGAAUUCCACGUGUAGCGGUGAAAUGCGUAGAGAUGUGGAGGAACACCAGUGGCGAAGGCGACUCUCUGGUCUGUAACUGACGCUGAGGAGCGAAAGCGUGGGGAGCGAACAGGAUUAGAUACCCUGGUAGUCCACGCCGUAAACGAUGAGUGCUA